GCGACCCCAGGUCAGGCGGGAUUACCCGCUGAGUUUAAG
rnacentral:rRNA from 5 species